UGGGGAAUAUUGGACAAUGGGCGAAAGCCUGAUCCAGCAAUACCGCGUGUGUGAAGAAGGCCUUAGGGUUGUAAAGCACUUUCAAUUGGGAGGAAAACCUACCGGUCAAUACCCGGUAGCUUGACAUUACCUUUAGAAGAAGCACCGGCUAACUCCGUG
rnacentral:rRNA from 1 species